rnacentral:pre_miRNA from 1 species
UUAAUUCACUUCGCUUUCACCGGUGACUUUAGUGCUUUGUCACAGAGAGAACUAAGGCACGCGGUGAAUGCCAAGAGAAUAACG